GAUGAAGAACGCAGCGAAAUGCGAUAAGUAAUGUGAAUUGCAGAAUUCAGUGAAUCAUCGAAUCUUUGAACGCACAUUGCGCCCGCCAGUAUUCUGGCGGGCAUGCCUGUCCGAGCGUCAUUUCAACCCUCGAACCCCUCCGGGGGGUCGGCGUUGGGGAUCGGCCCUGCCUCUGGCGGUGGCCGUCUCCGAAAUACAGUGGCGGUCUCGCCGCAGCCUCUCCUGCGCAGUAGUUUGCACACUCGCAUCGGGAGCGCGGCGCGUCCACAGCCGUUAAACACCCAACUACUGAAAUGUUGACCUCGGAUCAGGUAGGAAUACCCGCUGAACUUAAGCAUAUCAAUAAGCGGAGGA
rnacentral:misc_RNA from 1 species